GACAUGGAUGAGUGAAGAGGAAAGAUACAGGAAAGAGGACAAGGGGGAGGGGCAAGAGAACGAGAUAAAAAGAGAGCCUUGGUGAAGAACUCAGUUCCACUUUCAGCAAACAGCCAAGCCAAGAUGCCUAAGACCUUGAAAGAUGCCCUGCAGGAGGUUCUGGAUGAGCUGGGGAAAGAGGAUUUCGAGCGAUUCAAGGCAAAACUAAACAACCUUCCGGAGGUGCCCCAGGGCUGUAACAGAAUCCCCAAGGGGAAGCUGGAGGAGGCAAACCGCCUCGCUGUGUGUGACCUGAUCGUAAAUUAUUACACCACGGCGGGGGCUCUUCAGGUGGCCAUGGGCGUCCUCAAAGGAAUCAACCAGAACGAGCUGGCCACAAAGCUUCAGACACUCGUGUAUAACUAGAGCUGAUGGGCAUCAUGUGGCAUUGAUGACAGAGUGAAAGGACACAUGCUGCUUCUCUCCUCAUCGAGCUAUGAGAAGAUGCAAGAACUCCCCAAACCACCUCUCACCCACCUCUGUGUCCAGCCCACAGCCUGUACCAAGGAGAGAGUCUCGCCAAGGACAUCCUGAUGUGCAUGAGACACCCGACCCUGCUGUCUCUCCAGAGCCUGCUUCACUGUGACUCAUGUCACCUAUCGUGCAGCCUUCCCCUGUCCCAGCACAGCUCUGUCCCGCCUGCUCUGCUACGGGUCUGUCAAUAAAAACCUUUGAGCGUUUGAGCCCCA